UACAGAGGUGGCAAGCGUUGUUCGGAAUUACUGGGCGUAAAGGGCGCGUAGGCGGUCCUGUAAGUCUUGUGUGAAAUCCCUCGGCUUAACUGAGGAACUGCACGAGAUACUGCGAGACUUGAGUUCGGGAGAGGAAAGCGGAAUUCCUGGUGUAGCGGUGAAAUGCGCAGAUAUCAGGAGGAACACCGAUUGCGAAGGCAGCUCGCUGGGACGUUACUGACGCUGAGACGCGAAAGCGUGGGGAGCAAACAGG
rnacentral:rRNA from 1 species